CACGUAGGCAGCAAGCGUUGUUCGGAAUUACUGGGCGUAAAGAGUGUGUAGGCGGUGCUCUAAGUCUGUUGUGAAAUCUCCCGGCUUAACCGGGAGGGUGCGGCGGAAACUGGAGUGCUUGAGGGUGGGAGAGGUAAGCGGAAUUCCUGGUGUAGCGGUGAAAUGCGUAGAUAUCAGGAGGAACACCUGUGGUGUAGACAGCUUACUGGACCACUUCUGACGCUGAGACACGAAAGCGUGGGUAGCAAACAGG
rnacentral:rRNA from 1 species